UACGUAGGGUGCGAGCGUUAAUCGGAAUUACUGGGCGUAAAGCGUGCGCAGGCGGUUGUGUAAGUCAGAUGUGAAAUCCCCGGGCUCAACCUGGGAAUGGCAUUUGAGACUGCACAGCUAGAGUGUGUCAGAGGGGGGUAGAAUUCCACGUGUAGCAGUGAAAUGCGUAGAGAUGAUGGAGGAACACCGAUGGCGAAGGCAGCCCCCUGGGCUAAGAUUGACGCUCAUGCACGAAAGCGUGGGGAGCAAACAGG
rnacentral:rRNA from 1 species